UACUCCUGACUGACCGAUAGUGAACCAGUACCGUGAGGGAAAGGCGAAAAGAACCCCGGCGAGGGGAGUGAAAAAGAACCUGAAACCGUGUACGUACAAGCAGUGGGAGCCCCACCACCAAAGCGUUUCGCUUUGCGUGGUGCGCAAAAUGCGUAACGACAGCACAAUUCACGGUUAACGGAGCGUAAGCGACGUUCAACACAAGAAUCAAGCAGUGGAGCGUUUUGGGGUGGGGUGACUGCGUACCUUUUGUAUAAUGGGUCAGCGACUUAUAUUCUGUAGCAAGGUUAACCGAAUAGGGGAGCCGGAGGGAAACCGAGUCUUAACUGGGCGUUAAGUUG
rnacentral:rRNA from 1 species